CCGCAUAGGUUUGCUGCGGGGAAAUGAAGUGGACAUGGGUAUCCAUGCCGCCCGCCGUCAGGAUCAGAUGCUCACCGGAAAUGGCGUCGGUGGAUCCGCCCGUCGUCAGACCAGGGGUAACACCAUCCAUGGUGCUGGGAUUGCCGGCUUUUCCGAUGCCGACGAUGCGGCCGUUCCUGAUACCGACAUCGGCCUUCACCACACCCAGCAUAGGUUCGAGGAUCGUCACAUUGGUGAUGACGAGGUCGAGGCAGCCAGCCUCCUGGGUCAGGAGGCUGUCGGAGCCCAUGCCGUCGCGCAG
rnacentral:sRNA from 1 species